rnacentral:tRNA from 1 species
GGAGAGAUAGCUCAGAGGUGAGCACAGGGCUUGGAAACCUGAGCUCCACCUCUGAAACCCAGUAAUACAUAUGCCAGAAUUGAACAAUUCUCUUAUCUCUCUCUCCU